GGAAACCUUAGACAGCCAGAGCUGAGGGAGGGAUUGUUUAGAAGAGGAAGGGGUGGGUGCUACAAGCUCCCAGCCAUCCACUUACUGGGAGUCCACCAUGCACCAGGCCUGCAAUGAAGGGGAGAGGUGUGGUCCCUGCCUCCAGGGGAGACAGUCACAAAACCCCUGAUAUAGGACAAAUGCUUACCCCAAGGUGAAUGUAUUAGCAGAGGGGGCUUUGGGGAGGUGACUCGGUGAUGAAGGCAGAGCCCUCAUGGAUGGAUGAACAUCCUUCCAGGAAGAAACACGAGGGGGCUUGCUUCCUCCCCUGCUCUCCGCCAUGCAAGGACGCAGGAAGAAGGUGUUGUCCAUGAACCAGAAAUCAGGCCUUCCACACACACGGGAUCUACCAGCACCUUAAUCUUGGACUUGCGGCCUCUGGAACUGUGAGGACUAAAUGCCUGUUGUUUAAGCCUCCCAGUCUCUGGUAUUUUGGUUAUAGCAGCCUGAACUGACAGGAGUGAAAAUCAGAUGUGGCGGGCUGGAGAUAAAAGGGGAAAGUAGGAAGUACAGGUGGCAAGAGUAGCCCAUUCCUUCAAAAAGCUCUCCUGUGAGCAGGAGGCAAAGGGGGCACCCAGGACGGACAGAAGGUCACUGACAAGGAGGAAGCAUGACUGUGUGCGAAGGAGGAGCAGCCAGCGAGGGGAGGAACAGUCUGUGCAGAAGUGCAGGGACGCCAAGAGCGGGCUGCUUGAGAUGUUUGGUGAAAUGAGGCAACGUGCCUGUGAUUUUGUUUUCCACCCCAGUUGCCGGGGCAUGCUCUGAGGCUUGCAAUUUCCGUGGGCACAGCCAGGUGAGUUUGGGUGGCGUCGUCUGAUCCCCACUCUUGACCCCUUGGCCCCUGCAGCUCUCCGAGCAGAGAAGUUGUUCUUCUGUCACUGCUUGCACAUUGGUGAGCAAAAAGAUGGAAAAGCCAGUGUGAUUUCCAACUAAUCUUGACUAAGUCAGAUAUAGGGGGUUUUUUCCCCACCUCUGGGAAGAUUGUCAAGUGAAACAAUGUGGCUUUGAGCUUCUGACAGAUGCUAAUGAAUUGUUGUUUACAUUUUUGAUUUACUGCCUAAACAAAGAUAAGACAUGCUCUUGAAAACACAUUGAAUGCACAAUCCAAACACAUCCAUUAAAUCUGUCACAAUAAACAUGACAGCUUUCUUCUAACCUAACAACUGGCAUGCCUCAUUUGCAUAUUAAUGAGAAAACCGGGAUCAGCCGCGCAAAUUACUUAUAUCUCAUGAAGGGGCUGCUCCUGAUGACAGCGAGACACUUGGGGGUGUAAAUACACCACGUUAAUACCUUUGCUGUUUUGGUGCCUUUUCCCUCUCUGUGCUUGGGCUCUGUGCGCCAGGUUGGAUAUUUCCGUUAAGCUGUGUGGGGGCAGGGGCCCCUGACGGGAGUCAUCAUGGGCCCAGAAAGAGCUGGAUUGGCCUCAAAUCCUGCCAACACUCCAAGAACACUUAGUGAGCACCUACUACGGCCUGGUCAACAGUUUCCAAUUGCAGUUGAACUUGAUCAUGAAUUGCAUUCAAAUGAACCAAGAGAAAAAUAUGAGAAUUUACUGGUACCAACCAGGUGUGACUUUUCACAUGCAUCAUCACAUUUAAACCUCACAGGAAGCCUUAGAACAGGGUGCACAAAAGUAAAAGUGCAAGGACCCCGACUCCCAUUCCUCACCCACGGCAGACAUAGCUAGUCAAUGCCAGAACUCCUUCCAGCUGAGCCUGGAAUCAAACUCGCAAUGCUCAAGGCAAGACUUCAAGAGGCUGCCACCAUCCAAAGGAUCCACACAGGUGAUGAAGCCCCAUUGGUGUCCUGCCUUAGGACAGGUAUGAUUGUUGACAUUACAGAAAUGAGAAAAAGACCCAUUUGGAAAAGUUAGGGGACCUACCAGGUCACCAGGCAAGGAAGAGGCAAAGUCGAGAUUCCACCCUGGGUCUUCCAGCCACCAGCCCAGUUCCCUCCUCACUUCUGCCGCUUCCUAGAGCACCUCACGGCUCCACUCUUUACACAGCUUCACCUGGGCCUAUGUGUCUAGGUAGGAAUUAAGUUGAUUAUGAUUGAAGGUAUCAGCAACAAGAUAACUCAAAUUGAAGGGGCCAGAGAACAUAAUGCUUCCAGGAAGAAGUGGUCCAGGCCCCAACACCACAGUGAUGUCUUCAGAGUCACGAACGCUGAAAGUCUGCAGGAUAUCCCAUCCUCAGACACGCUUGGGUCUGCACCCCACUCUGGCUGCCUGGGGCAAUUCCCUUCAUUUCCCUGAGUCUCAUUUAUAAAAAGGAAAUGAUAGCUCUCACUUUCUACCACCAUCAUGAGCAUAAAAGGGAUUUUGCUCUAAAGAACUUAGCACAAAGCCUGCUCAAUAAAUGGUGGUUUAAAAAUGCCAAACCCUCACCACCAGAGGUUUUGCUAAAUCUUUUACUCCAGCUGGCUCCACCCAGCUGCUUCUUCCUUGCUAUACGCCAGACUCAAGAGUGCGGCAGUUACUCUCAGAAAGUGCCAUGCCAUCUGAGGGAGACUCACACCUAAAGAGAAGCUCUCCUUUCCCCUUCUUCCCUCUGCUCCUCCAGCAUCUUCUUCAGGAAGGGCCUGUCCCUGAGCUGGAACUGCCAAGUCAGGGUGGUGCAGGCCCUGCCCACAAUCCAAAAUCCCCAGGUCAGGCAACUCAGCCCUGGCUUAUUCUUUUAGAGCUCCCAUCCUCAUUCCACAUUGCAGCACCCACAUCCCAGGCUUUGGCCCCUGGCCAUUGAAAGGCCCGCUGGGUGUCCAAGGUGGUGUUCACAGAGGCCAGGUGCUCAGAAUCUGCUGACAAGAAGACCUCAAGUGUACAAGGUGGAGAGAGCCAAAGGCACUCUAUAAAAAGGAAUUCUCAGGGAUGCUGCCACUGGGCAUUUUUAUUACAGAUUAAUCUAUCCACAUUACUUCACAAGAGAAAAAAGGUCCUAUUCCUAUUGAAUUAGAUGCACAUGGAAAUAUUUCCAAUGCUGCAACUCUUUCCCCUACUGAUUUCCUUUUCCUUUUCUUUUUUCUUUUUUUUUUAUUUUUUUAUUUUUUUUCAUUUUCUUUUUAGAGACAGGGUCUUGCUUUGUUGCCCAGGCUGGAGUGCAGUGGCACAGUCAUGGCUCACUGCAACCUCAAACCCACCUAAGCCUCCCAAAGUGUUAGGAUUACAGGCGUGAGCCACCACACCUGGCCUGAUUUUCUUUAACUACCACGUCUUGAUAUCUUUAAAAAAAAAAAACAAAAAAAAAAACAAAACGGAGUCUCGCUGUGUCUCCCAGGCUGGAGUGCAGUGGCAUGAUCUCGGCUCUCUGCAACCUCUGCCUCCUGGGUUCCAAUGAUUCUCCUGCCUCAGCCUCCUGAGUAGUUGGGAUUACAGGUGUGCACCACCACACCCAGCUAAUUUUUGUAUUUUUAGGAGAGACAGGGUUUUGCCAUGUUGGCCAGGCUGGGCUCGAUCUCCUGACUUCAAGUGAUCCACCCGCCUAGGUCUCCCCAAAGUGCCGGGAUUACAGGCAUGAGCCACUGGGCCUGGCCCAAGAUCUUUGUGUUAGGCUCAUGCUAGAUGUUACAUGUUGUGGGAAGCUCCUAAGAUGACCCCCAGUGAAAGCCCCUCUCCUGGUUUUCACCCCCUUGAUACCUGUCCCUUGAGUGUGGGCUGGACUUGACAGCUCACUUCUAACAAACAGGAUAUGACAGGGGUGAUGAAUGUCACUUCCGAGAUUAGGUUAUAAAAAGACUAUGGCCUCUGUCUUGGGCUCUCUCUCUCUCUACUCACUCUAGGGGAAGCCAGCUGUCAUGUCAUGAGGCACCCGGAGCCUCUGCAUAGCAGGGAGCUGGAGGCAGACUCAGCCCAAAGCCAGUAGGAGUUGGAGGGCCUCAUUCUACCAGCUUACAGGGGACUGAAGGCUAGCUACAAUUAUGUGUGUGAGCUCACAUUGCAGUCAGGCUGGGGAUUCCGUCUUGGCCAAGUCUUCAGACGAAACUGUAACCCAGGCCACAGCUUGACUGCAGUGUUGUUGGUGACCUUGAGGCAGAGGCACCAGCUCAGCUGCACCUGGAUUCCUGACUCAGAAACUAUGAGAUAAUAAAUGUUUAUUGUUUUCAGCUGCU
rnacentral:lncRNA from 1 species